UACGCAGUAAUGGGUUACACUGACAAUAGUUAUCGAACUGUUUGUGUGUGUUAGGGCAUGAAAGAAGCAGAUGACUACAGCGAUUCUGAUGAAGACCAGCAUGAUGCUUACCUGGAAAGAAUGAAAGAAGAGGGCCAGAUCACAACUUUGGUAAAAAGCUGAAAAGAAGCCCAAGAAAGUGGUGAAGGAGAACAUAGAGAAAAAACCACAGAAAGAGGAGGGGGACGGAAAAGCAGAACAGGCUAAAAAACAAUAUGAGAAAGCCAUGAAAGAGUACAGAGCAAGUGGAGGAGAAGUGGCAUCUGUUACUAAUCCUGCUUUACAAAGACACAAUCAUGACUUCUGCAUUUGGAGAAAAGAAAACGAAAGGAGGGAAGGUGGAAGUUUAGCAGAAGAUUGGAGGAGAAAAGGAGAGAAAGAAAUAAGGUGGAAAAACAGCUUUAAGAGUAAAGAGUUUAUCUGCAUCGAGAAGAGCUCAUCUGAAUCUGACCACGACAGAGGCAGCAAACGCAAGGU